GUCGACCUGGACAUGGAUCACCUGCUGCUGCUGCUCCUGCUGUGGAGCUCAGGAGUCACGACUGAAGGAGGACAAAGUUCAACAGAGCACGAUUAUGUCAGGUUGGUGGGAGGAGCCAGUCACUGUGCAGGUACACUGGAGGUGAAACACCUGGGAGAAUCGAGACCAGUCAUUGGCUCUCUCUGGAACCUGAAGAAAGCAGCUGUUGUCUGUGAACAUCUGGACUGUGGCUCUGCUGCUUCUGUACGAGAGAGAAAGAAAACCUCCGACACAGCUGUGUGGAAAAUAAAUCCUAACUGUGUGCAGUCUGAACCUGAUAUGAAGUGUGCAGAAUCACAUAACUCUUCCUCGAGUCUGGACAUCACCUGUUCAGACUCUGUCAGGCUGCUGAACGGUUCCAGUCUGUGUUCAGGCAGACUGCAGGUGAAGUCUAACCAGAGAUGGUCCUCAGUGUG
ensembl:lncRNA